rnacentral:rRNA from 1 species
CGGGAAUAUUGGACAAUGGGGGCAACCCUGAUCCAGCCAUGCCGCGUGAGUGAAGAAGGCCUUAGGGUUGUAAAGCUCUUUCAGGUGCGAAGAUAAUGACUGUAACACCAGAAGAAGCUCCGGCUAAAUUCGUGCCAGCAGCCGCGGUAAUACGAAUGGAGCGAGCGUUGUUCGGAAUCACUGGGCGUAAAGCGUAUGCAGGCGGACAUGCAAGUCAGAAGUGAAAUCCCAGGGCUUAACCCUGGAAUGGCUUUUGAAACUGCAUGUCUAGAGUCUCGGAGGGGCCAGCGGAAUUCUCACUGUAGAGGUGAAAUUCGCAGAUAUUGAGAGGAACACCAGUGGCGUAGGCGGCUGGCUGGACGAGUACUGACGCUCAGAUACGAAAGCGUGGGGAUCAAAC